UACGUAGGGUGCAAGCGUUGUCCGGAAUUAUUGGGCGUAAAGAGCUCGUAGGCGGUUUGUCGCGUCUGCUGUGAAAACUCGGGGCUUAACCCCGGGCCUGCAAUGGGUACGGGCAGACUAGAGUGCGGUAGGGGAGACUGGAAUUCCUGGUGUAGCGGUGAAAUGCGCAGAUAUCAGGAGGAACACCAAUUGCGAAGGCAGCUCGCUGGGACGUUACUGACGCUGAGACGCGAAAGCGUGGGGAGCAAACAGG
rnacentral:rRNA from 1 species